CUUACUCAACCAUUCAUACUGAAAACCUAAUCACUUUCAUCCUCUCCAUUCUCUGUUCUCUCUCAAUCCCAACCUCUCUCAUGUUUCUAGUCGCCUGCGCGCCGCCACAAUCCUUGCUAGCACCACCAAACCAUCGGCACCACUACUGCUGGCAUGUUGAGCGAAGAUGUCGCUCGACACCGUUGCAGUAGCACCGUUGCCGUUGCUGUCGUCGCCAUGCGGUCAUCAAGGUGAUGUCUAGUGAUUUUAGGAUUUGCUUUAGAUUUGAGCACAGUGGGCAUCAUGCAGUGGUGAUGAUGCUGUCGUCGCUAUUCCCAAUCAUGUGUAAUGAUUUUAGUGGUGGGUUUGGCAUCUGAGCGCAACAGUAAUUGCCAUGAUGUGGAGUGAUUUUAGCAGUGGGUUUGGGAUCCAAGCGCAGCAGAUAUCAUAUUUUGGAUCUGAUUUAUGAUGGUUAUGCAAUAAUUUUGCAUUUGGUUUCGUAGUGAUCCUGGAAUGAUUUUUGGGUGGGUUUUGUUGGUUGUGGUGGUGGCGGAAGAGGUGGUGCUGGCUGUGGCGACGACGACGUUGGUUGUAGCAGUAUUGGUGGUGAUCGUGGUCGUGGUGGCUGCGACGGUGAUUGUAAUAAACUUUUUUCUUGGUGUUGGAUCUGCCACGACGAUGUUGUAAUGUUUUCUAAAAUGGGUUGAUUUUUUUGAUGUGGUGGUGUAACUGUCGAGAGAUAGUGGUGGUUUUGGUGAAGGAGGCUGUGAUAGUGCCACUGGAGACAGUGAAAAGAUGGUGGUUACAAGUGUUGGUAGUGGUCACAAAUUAUUUGGUUGAUUGUGAUAAUUAAAUUGGUUAAUCUGUAACCAAUGAAAAAGACAAAUUGUGAUCAAAAAAUAAUAUGUGACCUAAAAAAUUAUUAAUUUGUGAUCGAUAAUUUGAUAAUUCGUGAUUGUAUAAUAAGUUGUGAUUCAUAAUUUUUGUGAUUUGUAAC
rnacentral:lncRNA from 1 species